rnacentral:rRNA from 1 species
CCUACGGGGGGCAGCAGUGAGGAAUAUUGGUCAAUGGGCGAGAGCCUGAACCAGCCACGUCGCGUGAGGGAGUACUGCCCUAUGGGUUGUAAACUUCUUUUGUCGGGGAGCAAAAGCCGGACGUGUCCGGCUGUGAGAGUACCCGAAGAAAAAGCAUCGGCAAACUCCGUGCCCGCAGCCGCGGUAAUACGGAGGAUGCGAGCGUUAUCGGGAUUUUUUGGGUUUAAAGGGUGCGCAGGCGGAUUUUUAAGUCAGCGGUAAAAUCGUGGGGCUCAACCCCAUCCAGUCGUUGAAACUGGGGAUCUAGAGUGUGCAAGAGGUAUGCGGAAUGCGUGGUGUAGCGGUGAAAUGCAUAGAUAUCACGCAGAACCCCGAUUGCGAAGGCAGCAUACCGGUGCACAACUGACGCUGAGGCACGAAAGCGUGGGUAUCGAACAGGAUUAGAUACCCCAGUAGUC